GCCACAACCAUGGCUGCUCCGGACCAGUGGUUCCAUGGCGCCGAUCUGGAGUGCGAGGGAGGCAGAGAAAGUGAGGCCUCGAGCUCCUCCGCACCAUCCUCUCCCAGAGCUUCUUCCCCGACGCCAUUUUUCCCUUUCCCAAGAUGCACUUCCUCCAUCUUGUGUGUAAAGGUGGCCAUCACGCACAGAUGGACAUGGCUAGUGUGUGUAGAGCUGCUCCAUUGCUCAAACAAAUAGUCCCAAGGCCAGAUAUAUGAUACUGGGGGUAUUUAGGGGCCAUCUGGAUCUUUCACUGUGAAUAACGUCCAACUGUUUGCUGGCUAUGUUCUGGUAUUGGUUCAUUUAUGGAAGGGUCCAACUCCAAAGCAUUGUCUGUUGGUGAUGAAGUGAAAUACAUGUAUUUGUUUUACUCUUGGUAGAGCAGCUGGAGGAGGGCUGCAGCAGGAGUGUGCGAAUCUGCAAGGCUGUGCACGAGCUCGAGGACGGCGCUGAUGGGUCAGCCAACUCCCGCGGCAGAUAUUUCUUGGAUGGGCUCUGUGGAUUUUGUGUUCUGCUACUGCCAGGUUUAAAUGGGAGUUGAGAGUACCAUGUGCGGCAUCAACCAAAGUGUUUACUUUUUCUUUGUUCUCAAGAAAUCAAGUGAGGAACUAAUCUUUCUUUUGCUUCUUUCAUAGUAUUGAGUGUUACAUUUUGUAUUGUGCUGAAGUUGAUCCAAUUUCAGCACCGCUCCUCCAGUUCUUGAUAGCAGGAGAGUUCUCUUCUCACCCUAUGUCAAAUGCUUUUAUUUUCUGGCGAGAUUGCAAUGAAAUAUAAAUUGGAUACCUCGCUGACCACAUCGCCUUCCGUUUGCCUGCUCUGCCAUGCGAACACUGGCUCUGCGUGGUGGCCACUGCAAGGUUUUGAGGCUGGUUGAGGUUUCAUACAUAUUUUCUCCUUCCCGUUGUUGAUCCAAGAUUCUGCUGUUCUCGAGCCCGAGUGAUGGCUACUGAUGGGAGAAAUAUAGAUUUUUUAAACAAUACAUCAACACAUUAUAUGCCCAAAAUGUCAUUCUAUACCUCGUGCAUUUACAAAGUAUGCAAUGCAAAAUAUUUGCAGUAUACUUAGGAGGUUUGAUUGAUGGAGAAUUCAGGUUGUUAGCAUGCACUUACAUGUGAACAGAAUCAUUAGACUGAAAAUUUAUUUACUUUCUUGCAUUGUUAAUUGUUGUGGUCAAUUGUAUCCCCAAACUAAGGACUUAAUUCCAUGUUUACCUUCAGCCUAAAUGUUGUCUUAAUUAUCUGAAAUAUCAUAUGAUGUUUAUGCUUAGGACAUAGAUUAUUACUGAUCAUUUUAUCACCCAUGUUUAACCUACCUACAGGGAUGACUUGCUUGUAUAUUGCAUUGCUUCUUUUGAUUAUGUGGCUAGCAUUUAUCAUAUAGUGCAUCUUUCAGUUAUAUGGCUUCCAUGAGCAAGGUGCUAUUGCCAGGUAGAUGAAGGAUUCAUUCAUGGGAACAAUAAUGGUUCUCAGAUUUAGAGUCCGUGUUUGCUGUCCAUCGUGUAUAGGUUUAUAUUUUUUAUGGUAUCAUUUCUGGACCUUGUUUUUGAAUGUACCAUUCUAGACCUUCUUUCUUUGCAGGGGUUGGUUAUGUUCAAUCCGGGGUUUCUUCAUGAUUGUGCUUGUUGGUCACCUGCCAUGUCUGUUAGUUGUAGUGGUGCAAGCUCUGGCUCAGAGGAGGUGUUCUGAUGGCCUGUGGCAUAUUUCACCGAGGAGGCUCAUCAGCAUGAGUUUCAGGAAGAAUACAGUGCAAGUGAGCUUUACCUGGCAAGUUCAUGACUCAUGAGCAAGAAAUUAUGGUUUGAGAAUAUACCUUUCAUAUUGAAGAGGAGGUGCCAUCUGGUUGCCGGUAACUGCGUGUUGAAUCUUCUGCUGGUCAUAUCCUCCUACAACGAUUCUCCAACCCCUCAUUCCAAUGAUCCUCAUCUCAGGCAAGGUGUGCUAGGGAAGAAGAUGAAGUUGUAUAGAAUAUUGGACCCAAUUGUGGCAGGUAAUGGCUAGAAUAUUGUCAGAUCUGAACCAUACUGAAAUUUAGGGAUCUUUUUCUAGGAUGCAUGUUACAUUGGUUGAAAUGGCAAUCUAAAUUUUGCAGGUUACCAUCUUUGAGUUGAAUAUAAAUUAAUAGAGGCAGCUUCUUGAUAUUAAAUUUUAAGAAGUGGAAAAAUUUGCUCAUGUUUUAGAACAAUAAUAGGUUCAGUGUAAGCUAGAAAACAUAGUAUGCCAAUGGAAUGUCAUAUUUUAAGUAGCAGC